AGGGAACAAGGCUUAGAAUGAACUUUAAAAACCUUAACUUGGGCUGUGUAGAAUAACCGUCAUAUUACAAGAAACCCAUGGGCUAUAUAGUCCUAACUCUCCCAAAGCUAGAAGGGCCCCAGUGCGUGUAGCCGCACGAACUAGAAAACAUCCAUAUCCGUAUAGGCCUUUAUAGGGGACUCAAACCUCCCAGCAUAAUCAAGGCGACUUAAGCACCAAUGUAUACAAUAUGGGAGACUCAAACCUCCCAUUAAUAUAUCUAUUUGGGGGAC
rnacentral:lncRNA from 1 species